UGAGUAACCUGCCCUUAACUCUGGGAUAAGCCUGGGAAACUGGGUCUAAUACCGGUUAUGACUCCUCAUCGCAUGGUGGGGGGUGGAAAGCUUUUUGUGGUUUUGGAUGGACUCGCGGCCUAUCAGCUUGUUGGUGAGGUAAUGGCUCACCAAGGCGACGACGGGUAGCCGGCCUGAGAGGGUGACCGGCCACACUGGGACUGAGACACAGCCCAGACUCCUACGGGAGGCAG
rnacentral:rRNA from 1 species